rnacentral:tRNA from 1 species
GCGGGGAUGGCGGAACUGGUAGACGCACCAGACUUAGGAUCUGGUUCCUGACAGGAGUGAGGGUUCAAGUCCCUUUCCUCGCACCA